AUCAGUUGUUAAAGCCACCGUUUCUUUUACAGAUGAUUACAUUUUUGUCUCUUGCUCUUUGGUUUCAGACAUUACACGAUGAUCUGCUCUCUGGAAACAUCCGCUCCAACAGGAUGUUUCUUUGGAGGAAACCCGCCACCUCACUCCGGCUCAAGCAGCAUCUGAAGAUAAGGACGCUAUGUAAGAGUGAGCAGUGCGUAAGUAAAAAUGCCAUCCAUCAUGAGUAUUUUUACUCUCAGAGGUGUUACAUUUGAAAGCUGUUUACUUUCUAUGUUUUUCUUCAAUAGAUCUUCGAGCUCCUGCGGUUAAUUGAGGAGGCAACGACCAUAUCUGACAACAUCAAGAGAGGCGAGAUUCACUUGCUAGAUUUUGUCUUUGAUGUCAUGCUCCCAGAG